rnacentral:rRNA from 1 species
UACGGAGGGUGCAAGCGUUAUCCGGAUUCACUGGGUUUAAAGGGUGCGUAGGUGGGCAGGUAAGUCAGUGGUGAAAUCUCCGGGCUUAACUCGGAAACUGCCAUUGAUACUAUCUGUCUUGAAUACCGUGGAGGUCAGCGGAAUAUGUCAUGUAGCGGUGAAAUGCAUAGAUAUGACAUAGAACUCCGAUUGCGAAGGCAGCUAACUAAGCAGAUAUUGACGCUGAGGCACGAAAGCGUGGGGAUCAAACAGG